ACUCCUAACGGUAAAACACAACCCUUCCAAACGUGUUUAUGCCAAAAAAGCUCAGCGGCGCAGCAUAUGGCUUCAUCACGUUUUCAAUUCUGAAUCGUUCACACACUUCAUCUUCGAUUCUAAAUCCAAAUAGUGCAACACGAAUCCAGUUCAAACUUCUCAAAUCGUAUCCACCAAUGGCAGCUUGCAACGAUCUUGCGCUUUCCGGUUCAUGAUUUCUCGUCGUAGAAUUCAACGGUCCAAACGAAAAUGAGCUUCCACGGUACAUAUAACAAACAACCCGAACCUAGGUCACGAACUCCAUCAGCCAUCCUCCAAAACACCGCUCUACCAGUCUUAGCCAUGAUAACGCUUGGCUUCGACGAAUUCAAAGCUCUGGAAUCAUAUUGGAAUCGUAUCGUGUGCUAGAUUUUCAAACUCGAAUCAGAUUGCAUGUGGCGGGAUCGAAGAGGAAGAGGAUGAAUCGAAGCUACGCGAACCAUGAAUCACGAAAAGAAUGAAGGAGAAUUCACCGAAUUUGAUCUUCGAUUUGACCAGCCUGUAGGUUCGUUUCUCUGUGAUUGAGUGUGAGACGAAGAGUGAAGAUCGAGGGAGCAGAGAGCAGAAACGAAGAGAAUUUCUGAGGUAUUGUGAUUGGUGAUCUAAAUAGAAGGAUAAGUUGGUUAUGAAGAAACAAUGGCAUGAUAUGUGAAAAUGCGAUGAGAAUGAUGUUGGUGUAAGCCCUAGAGGCCAAUAUUUUUGGUACUUGUAUCGAAUUAUUUAAAGGCAUUUUCUUUAUUAUGGUUGAUUAAUAAAGUCCUUGGAAUAGAUAGUCCAUUUAAUGUAUUAAGUGUGACUUAAUCAUGAGAACACAUUAAACAUAAGGACACUAUUCUUAAAGUAUUCGUAGUCGAGCUUUAGUGUGAAGUGGGAUAACAUUAAAGACUAUUAUGUUUGUAGACUGAUGAUCACAUUUCAUGGGUCAUGGAUAAAGAGUUAUCAAGUCUUAAAUAUAUGUAUGAAUAUUAGGAGUAAUAUUUA